AUUGAACGCUAGCGGCAGGCCUAAUACAUGCAAGUCGAACGAUAGAAGAGGGCUUGCUCUCUUCGAAAGUGGCGCACGGGUGCGUAACGCGUAUGCAACCUACCUUAAUCAGGGGGAUAGCCCGAAGAAAUUCGGAUUAACACCGCAUAAAAUCACAGUACAGCAUUGUACAAUGAUCAAAUAUUUAUAGGAUUAAGAUGGGCAUGCGUGACAUUAGCUAGUUGGCGGGGUAACGGCCCACCAAGGCGACGAUGUCUAGGGGAUCUGAGAGGAUGACCCCCCACACUGGUACUGAGACACGGACCAGACUCCUACGGGAGGCAGCAGUAAGGAAUAUUGGUCAAUGGAGGCAACUCUGAACCAGCCAUGCCGCGUGCAGGAAGACAGCCCUCUGGGUCGUAAACUGCUUUUAUUCGGGAAUAAACCUACUUACGUGUAAGUAGCUGAAUGUACCGAAGGAAUAAGGAUCGGCUAACUCCGUGCCAGCAGCCGCCGUAA
rnacentral:rRNA from 1 species